rnacentral:piRNA from 1 species
UAGGCACUAAUGCUCAGCUCUAAGCAGGA